rnacentral:rRNA from 1 species
UAGGGAAUCUUCGGCAAUGGACGAAAGUCUGACCGAGCAACGCCGCGUGAGUGAAGAAGGUUUUCGGAUCGUAAAACUCUGUUGGUAGAGAAGAACGUUGGUGAGAGUGGAAAAGCUCAUCAAGUGACGGUAACUACCCAGAAAGGGACGGCUAACUACGUGCCAGCAGCCGCGGUAAUACGUAGGUCCCCGAGCGUUGUCCGGAUUUAUUGGGCGUAAAGCGAGCGCAGG